UGAUAUUUUUUAUAUAUACCUGGUGAUUUAGAU
rnacentral:tRNA from 1 species